AUUGAACGCUGGCGGCAUGCUUUACACAUGCAAGUCGAACGGUAACAGGUCUUCGGAUGCUGACGAGUGGCGAACGGGUGAGUAAUACAUCGGAACGUGCCUAGUAGUGGGGGAUAACUACUCGAAAGAGUAGCUAAUACCGCAUGAGAUCUACGGAUGAAAGCAGGGGACCUUCGGGCCUUGUGCUACUAGAGCGGCUGAUGACAGAUUAGGUAGUUGGUGGGGUAAAGGCUUACCAAGCCUGCGAUCUGUAGAUGGUCUGAGAGGACGACCAGCCACACUGGGACUGAGACACGGCCCAGACUCCUACGGGAGGAAGCAGUGGGGAAUUGUGGACAAGGGGCGAAAGCCUGAUCCAGCAAUGCCGCGUGCAGGAUGAAGGCCCUCGGGUUGUAAACUGCUUUUGUACGGAACGAAAAGCCUGGGGCUAAUAUCCCCGGGUCAUGACGGUACCGUAAGAAUAAGCACCGGCUAACUACGUGCCAGCCGCCGCUGUAACAC
rnacentral:rRNA from 1 species